rnacentral:rRNA from 1 species
AUUGAACGCUGGCGGCAUGCCUUACACAUGCAAGUCGAACGGUAACAGGUCUUCGGAUGCUGACGAGUGGCGAACGGGUGAGUAAUACAUCGGAACGUGCCCGAUCGUGGGGGAUAACGGAGCGAAAGCUUUGCUAAUACCGCAUACGAUCUACGGAUGAAAGCAGGGGACCGCAAGGCCUUGCGCGGACGGAGCGGCCGAUGGCAGAUUAGGUAGUUGGUGGGAUAAAAGCUUACCAAGCCGACGAUCUGUAGCUGGUCUGAGAGGACGACCAGCCACACUGGAACUGGGACAGGGCCCAGACUCCUACGGGAGGCAGCAGUGGGGAAUUUUGGACAAGGGGCGAAAGCCUGAUCCAGCCAUGCGGCGUGAAGGAUGAAGGCCUUCGGGUUGUAACUGCUUUUGUACGGAACGAAAAGACUCUUUCUAAUAAAGAGGGUCCAUGACGGUACCGUAAGAAUAAGCACCGGCUAACUACGUG